rnacentral:rRNA from 1 species
UACGUAGGGUGCAAGCGUUAAUCGGAAUUACUGGGCGUAAAGCGUGCGCAGGCGGUUUUGUAAGUCUGACGUGAAAUCCCCGGGCUCAACCUGGGAAUUGCGUUGGAGACUGCAAGGCUGGAGUCUGGCAGAGGGGGGUAGAAUUCCACGUGUAGCAGUGAAAUGCGUAGAGAUGUGGAGGAACACCGAUGGCGAAGGCAGCCCCCUGGGUCAAGACUGACGCUCAUGCACGAAAGGCGUGGGGAGCAAACAAGG